CCAGACUCCUACGGGAGGCAGCAGUGGGGGAUAUUGCACAAUGGGGGGAACCCUGAUGCAGCGACGCCGCGUGGGUGAAGGAGUGCUUCGGCAUGUAAAGCCCUAUCGGCAGGGAAGAAGCAAGACGGUACCUGACUAAGAAGCCCCGGCUAACUACGUGCCAGCAGCCGCGGUAAUACGUAGGGGGCGAGCGUUAUCCGGAUUCACUGGGUGUGAAGGGAGCGUAGACGGCCAAGCAAGCCAGGGGUGAAAGCCCGGGGCCCAACCCCGGGACUGCCCUUGGAACUGCAUGGCUGGAGUGCGGGAGGGGCAGGCGGAAUUCCUAGUGUAGCGGUGAAAUGCGUAGAUAUUAGGAGGAACACCAGUGGCGAAGGCGGCCUGCUGGACAGAAACUGACGUUGAGGCUCGAAAGCGUGGGGAGCAAACAGGAUUAGAUACCCGGGUAUG
rnacentral:rRNA from 1 species